AGUCAAGCAUAUGGUUGCUCCAGAGGACACAAUAGACACUGAUGAAUCUGGGGACUAAUUUUUGAGAUGUUUUUCCAUUUCAACCAUGUUCUAGACAGUUGACACACAAAACUACUUGUAUGUGCAUCACACUUAGCAAGGGAACCCCCAGUGCCCUAUUAGUCCUGGUAAGCCAAUUCUUAGGCCUGUCAAAUUUUGACAUUUAUUUGACUUCAUUGUUUCAUGUUUAACAAGAGUUCCACUUUAUAUAGGAAGUCAAUCAAAAGCUGUUGUUUAUGAUGUUUUGAUUGUUGAUGAUUGUUUGCAUGCAUUUAAAUCAUUGUUAAGUAGUUAUAUAGUUUCAGUCUUAGAAGGCCACAUACUUGUCGUCGAGGGCGACGACCUCUUAGCAAGGGAAGAUUGUGAGGGAUGUCGGACGUACUUGUAAGUUACGAUGCACUUGUAAGUUUAACGGUGUGCGGCAACAGCGCCACCUUGCGUCGGCCUUGGCAUUCCUCACGUUGCCAUCGCCUCCGCUGUUGGCCUGUCCGCUGCACACCAACUUCAGUGGCUGAAAUAAAACAUCACAUAUAGAGAUCCGAAUCCUGGGUGUUUGCUGUGUUCUUUACCAAAUCACCACAGCUGACCAAACAGCCCCCCCCCCCACA